rnacentral:sRNA from 1 species
CGAAACUGCUUUUCGAUCUAAACAAAGCAUGAUCUACACGGGAAACCAUUUGCUAUAUACUCGUCCUAGUUUGAGGGUUGUCGAUGGGUCCUUACAUCGCCCUCCCAUAGAACGGACAGACAUAUCAUUUCCCCAUUUUUUAUUGUGACGAUUUGUUACCAAUGGUCAAUCUGACGACGACAAUAGCUUGAAGACCUGGCAUCCUUUGUCCUAUGUACCAGUUUUUCACAACAUUAGACAUAAUAUGAGAGGGGAAAUCUAUUCGGCAAACGUUGUUGCUCCACCGUACGGGUAUUGUUGGUCAUUCUAUUGUUGCUUGUCAAAG